rnacentral:lncRNA from 1 species
AAGAUCAGUUGUGAGAUUCAUACUCAGGUCAGUCACAUGCCCAAACCAAUAUGAACAAGAUUCACCGUUGUUUCUAUAACCAUUACAAGUUUAAUACAAUCUCAAAAUUAUAUAAACAAUGUAUAAAACUAAAUUUGUCAAGCACCAAAUAGAAUUUAAGCCCAAUGAAAAAAAGAAAAAAAAGGAAAAAACAGAAACAAAAAAUUAUGUCAAGCAUGUGUUGUUACGCGGAAGAAACGCAGGCCGGCAAACCACUUAUGGAUGAAAAGAAGGCGCCUCAUGAGAUGUUUUCAAAGCUUGAGCCAUAUAAAGGCAUGAAAAUCCUCCAGGUGUGAGCAGGUAAUCAGUUAUGUUGUUUUAACCUGACUGUUUUCUGUUGGUGGUUCAGAAGCGCACCCCUCCGCUUUAGCCGGUUCAGGCACUGGCUCAGCUAGACGUGGAGGAUUGUAGGAGCCUCCCAUUUAUCUUGAAAAGAUCUCCCUUCCGCAAGAAAUUCAAAGCACAGCCACAUGUAAGGUCAACAAAAAUGAUUUUUAGUAAACUUGACAUGUUGCGUCUUCAAUACAUUACAGAAGACAAAAGACAGUUUGACGAUGCUAAGCGGGAUAUAUGGAUAACAUAUCUAUUAUAUUUAGUCGCUCUAAAGGUAAGAAAAAUGCUGAAACACAUGACUUGCUGCCAACAUUCAAGGCAACUACUCGUCCUUGCCAAUCGAUGACUUGAACUACCUUUAGUACCUGAAGUUGCCUGGUGUUGUAAGCACAUAAGUUACUAAAAAAAGCACAAAUAUUAAAAAAAAUAUAUAUAUAUAUACCAAGUCUAUAUAAAAAAGAAAAGAAAUGAGUCGUAACAAUCAAAUUUGGUAUCGAAUAUAUGCAUAGAGUUGAAAAAAAAAAAAAACAAAACACAAUCCCUUCUAUGCACUAAUCAAAAUAUAAACGUAUGGACUGAUCACCAGUUUGACCUGGACAGAGAGGCUUAGAGGGAAGAUUUAUGAGUUUGCAAACUGCAAACAAAUUCCCUGAUAACAACUGAUAAUACAUAACAACAUUACCCAUGUUUCUUCUCACAAAACUCAAACUGAACUCAUUUUUGUAAUUUAGAGACAAUAAAUUCCAAAAAAAAAAACAGAUAAAUAAAGCAAUAAUGGAUACAAAUGUUGCUGACCUGAAUCCCCGUUCAUAUGCCACCGUCACAAGUACCAUGACGGUUCUUUUCUAGUAAGGUCAGUACAACCACAUAGCAGUUGUCUCUGCCGCCUACUGCGGAACCCGAGACGCCGUCACCACCAGAUCCACAAGAUCCGGUACCUUCAUUCGUUGGUGUAGUCACCGCGAGACUUACCUGCAGCCGCCGAAGGUUCUAAAAAGUCAGCGUCUCUGUGUUCACCAUUGUGUUCGCCGGAAGUCUGUGGUUAUCGCGAACCUCUAGCGCCGCUGUCGGGGUUUACGAUGGUUACCGACCCAUCCAUCUUCCGACACUAAUGCCAUCCACCAUCGGCAUCUUGGCCGGCUCCCAUCUUCCAUUCUCUCACUCCUCUGCCCAUUCUUCUCUCCAGCUCCCUCUUUCUCCCACAAAAAAAUGGGAUAACAUCAGAGGAACCCACAUCUGAUGAGAUGAAAUCUAAAUCUGCAAGACAAAAGCAUUGAAAAACCCUAAAGUAGCGUUCGUUUCAUGGAAUGGAAUGGAAUUGGGAAGCUUUUCUUUGUAAAAUUGAUCUUGGUUUGACCUCCAUAGAUGCUUUUCCACAUCAGUUACUAUGCUUUUCUGUAACCUGAAAAACCAUCAACAGUACACACAUUUCCAGAAAACAAAAACAGUAAUCAAUACAAAAAUAUAUACUCUCUCCGUAGAUCCAUUCACAAAACAUUAAGAAAAACACAAAACCAACAUAGAUCUGAAAGUACUAUAACAGAUCUGACAAAGAU